GAUGAACGCUAGCGGCAGGCUUAACACAUGCAAGUCGAGGGGCAGCGUGAUGAAGUAGCAAUACGGAUUUGACGGCGACCGGCGCACGGGUGCGUAACGCGUAUGUAACCUACCUUUAACAGGGGGAUAACACUGAGAAAUUGGUACUAAUACCCCAUAACACUCUGGGAGGCAUCUUUUAGAGUUGAAAGUUCCGGCGGUUAAAGAUGGACAUGCGUUGUAUUAGCUAGAUGGUGAGGUAACGGCUCACCAUGGCGACGAUACAUAGGGGGACUGAGAGGUUAACCCCCCACACUGGUACUGAGACACGGACCAGACUCCUACGGGAGGCAGCAGUGAGGAAUAUUGGUCAAUGGACGCAAGUCUGAACCAGCCAUGCCGCGUGCAGGAAGACGGCUCUAUGAGUUGUAAACUGCUUUUGUACAAGGGUAAACCUCGGUACGUGUACCGAGCUGAAAGUACUGUACGAAUAAGGAUCGGCUAACUCCGUGCCAGCCGCCGCAGUAACAC
rnacentral:rRNA from 1 species